UACAGAGGGGGCUAGCGUUGUUCGGAAUUACUGGGCGUAAAGGGCGCGUAGGUGGCCUGUUAAGUCGAACGUGAAAUCCCCGGGCUCAACCCGGGAACUGCGUCCGAGACUGGCAGGCUCGAAUCCGGGAGAGGGAUGUGGAAUUCCAGGUGUAGCGGUGAAAUGCGUAGAUAUCUGGAGGAACACCCGUGGCGAAGGCGGCUCUCUGGGACGGUACUGACGCUGAGACGCGAAAGCGUGGGGAGCGAACAGG
rnacentral:rRNA from 1 species